rnacentral:rRNA from 1 species
AGGCUACCAUGCAAGUCGAGGGGCAUCACUUCGGGUGGCGACCGGCGCACGGGUGAGUAACACGUAUGCAACCUGCCAUAUACAGGGGGAUAGCCUUCCGGAAGGGAGAUUAAUACCCCAUAAAACAGGGGUACCGCAUGGUAAUAUUUGUUAAAGAUUAAUCGGUAUAUGAUGGGCAUGCGUUGGAUUAGGUAGUUGGUGAAGGUAACGGCUCACCAAGCCAACGAUCCAUAGGGGAACUGAGAGGUUAAUCCCCCACACUGGUACUGAGACAGGGACCAGACUCCUACGGGAGGCAGCAGUGAGGAAUAUUGGUCAAUGGUCGGGAGACUGAACCAGCCAAAUCGCGUGAAGGAAGACGGUAUUAUGUAUUGUAAACUUCUUUUGUAAGGGAAUAAAGUGCGGGACGUGUCCUGUUUUGUAUGUACCUUACGAAUAAGCAUCGGCUAACUCCGUGCCAGCAGCCGCGGUAAUACGGAGGAUGCGAGCGUUAUCCGGAUUUAUUGGGUUUAAAGGGUGCGUAGGUUGGCUUUUAAGUCAGCGGUGAAAUCUCUCAGCUUAACUGGGAAACUGCCGUUGAAACUGGGAGCCUUGAGUGUGAACGAGGCAGGCGGAAUUCGUAGUGUAUCGGUGAAAUGCAUAGAUAUUACGAACAACUCCGAUAGCGCAUGCAGCUUGCCAGGCCACAACUGACACUGAAGCACGAAAGUGUGGGUAUCAAACAGGAUUAGAUACCCUGGUAGUCCACACAGUAAACGAUGAUUACUCGCUGUUUGCGAUACAGUGCAAGCGGCUUAGCGAAAGCAUUCAGUAAUCCACCUGGGGGAGUACGCCGGCCACGGUGAAACUCAAAGGAAUGGACGGGGGCCCGCACAAGCGGAAGAACAUGUGGUUUAAUUCAAUGAUACGCGAGGAACCUUACUUGGCUCGAACGGCGAAAGAUAUGAAGGAAACAUAUACCCACCAUGGCUGCCAUCUAAGUGUUGCUGGUUGUCGUCGCUACGUGCCUGAGGGGUCGGUUUAAUGCCGUACAACGCACACUUCCCUACCAUUAUCUCACUA